AACGCACAUUGCGCUCGCCAGUAUUCUGGCGAGCAUGCCUGUUCGAGCGUCAUUUCAACCAUCAAGCUCUGCUUGCGUUGGGGAUCCGCGGCUGCCCGCGGUCCCUCAAAAUCAGUGGCGGGCUCGCUAGUCACACCGAGCGUAGUAACUCUACAUCGCUAUGGUCGUGCGGCGGGUUCUUGCCGUAAAACCCCCCAUUUCUAAGGUUGACCUCGGAUCAGGUAGGAAUACCCGCUGAACUUAA
rnacentral:misc_RNA from 2 species